UAGGGAAUCUUCGGCAAUGGGGGGAACCCUGACCGAGCAACGCCGCGUGAGUGAAGAAGGUUUUCGGAUCGUAAAGCCCUGUUGUUAAGGAAGAACGAGUGUGAGAAUGGAAAGUUCACACUGUGACGGUACUUAACCAGAAAGGGACGGCUAACUACGUGCCAGCAGCCGCGGUAAUACGUAGGUCCCGAGCGUUGUCCGGAUUUAUUGGGCGUAAAGCGAGCGCAGGCGGUUAGAUAAGUCUGAAGUUAAAGGCAGUGGCUCAACCAUUGUAGGUUUUGCAAACUGUUUAACUUGAGUGCAGAAGGGGAGAGUGGAAUUCCAUGUGUAGCGGUGAAAUGCGUAGAUAUAUGGAGGAACACCGGUGGCGAAGGCGGCUCUCUGGUCUGUAACUGACGCUGAGGCUCGAAAGCGUGGGGGGCGAACAGG
rnacentral:rRNA from 1 species